CUGAGGAGGAGAAUGCAACCAGAGACUAUUCUCCCUCCACCCACCACUCUCUGGCCCAGACCCAGAAGUGCAAUGAGGAGGAAAAACAGUACAGUCUAACAAAUAAAGGUGUGGGUGGCCCUGGAACAACCUACUGAGGAUUGAUCAAGGAAAAGUGAAAGAAAGCACGAAUAAUCAGCGUCAGAAAUAAACAAGUGGACAUCACUACAUAUCCUGCAAUCAAUAUCAAAAGAAGAUAUUAUAAAGAGCUGUAGGCUAAUAGAUUCAAACCUGUAGAUGGAAUUGUCAAGAUCUUUGAAAAGCAGCCUUUAACAAAACUGACCAAAGAAGAAAUCUAAUAUUUCUUUUUCUUUUUCUUUUUUUUUCUUUUUUUUUUUUGAGAUGGAAUCUCGCACUGUCACCCAGGCUGGAGUGCAGUGGCGCGAUCUUGGCUCACUGCAACCUCUGCCUCACGGGUUCAAGCGAUUCUCCUGCCUCAGCCUCCUGAGUAGCUGGGAUUACAGGUGCACACCACCACACCCAGCUACUUUUGUAUUUUGACGGGGUUUCACCUUGUUGGUCAGGCUGGCCUGGAAUCCCUGACAAGUGAUCCACUCGCUUCAGCCUCCCAAAGUGCUGGGAUUACAGGCGUGAGCCACCUCACCCGGCUGUAAUAUUUCUUUCACUACUAAGAAAUGGAGUCUAAAAAUCUUCCUAUGAUUUAAAAAUUUUUAAUUAAAUUAUCUUGUACCAGAUAACUUGAAAUACAUAGGAAGAAAUAACACCAAUAUUGCACAAAAUGUUCCAGAGAAUGGAAAAAGAGGUGUGUUUGGAAGCUUCUGAAGUGACUCUCAAUGAUCCUCACCUCCUGGUAUUCAUGCUUUUGUGUAACCUCCUCUCCUUGAGUGUGGACUGGACCUGGUGACUUGCUUCUAAUGAACAAAAGACAGCAAAAUCAUGGGAGAUCAAUUCCAAGAUUAAGUUGCAAAAGACCAUGACUUCUGUCAUGCGAGCAGGCUUUCUCUCCUUACUCACUUAGAUAAAGCAAGCUCUCUUGUUGUAAGCUGCCCUAAGGAGAGGCUCACAGGGCCAGGAUACUGAGAGUGUCCUUGUGCCAACAGGUCAUGAGACACUGAGGUCUUAAUCUAAAAGCCACUGACAAACUGCGUGUCACUAACAACCUUGUGAGUGAGCCUGAGGUGGAUCUUUCUCAGUGGAGCCUUGAGAUGACUGCAGACUUGUGAGAGCCAAAAGAUCCAACUAAGCCUUUCCUGACCCACAGAAACCAUGAGAUUAUAAACAUUGUUUUAAAACACUAAGUUUUGUUGUUGCACAGGAUUAGAUGACUAACACAAGGAGGAAUGUCUGCAGUUUUAUUUUGGGAGCCAACAUAACCUUAUUACUAAAAUAAAGUGAUGUGAUGAUGAAGAAAAGUAUAAGCCAAUCUCACUCAUGGACAUAGAUGAAAAAAUGCUAAGCAAAAAAAUAGCCAACAAAUCCAUUUUUACACAAAAAAGAUUAUGCAAAAUCACUAAUUUGGGUUAUUCCUCAGGAAUACAAGCUUGUGUUAACAUUUGAACAGUAAUGACAUAUUUCAUUACAUUAAGAGAAUAAAGGAAGACUAUAUUAUGAUGAUUUAAACAAAUGCAGGAAAAAUAUUUCAUAAUAUUUAAUACCCAUUCAUGAAAAAAUAUCCUGCAAACUAGGGACAAAGUGAAGUAAUCCUUCCUUGAGAAUCCUUAAUCCAAUAGAUUAUUGAAAACAAAACCUACAUCAAACCUUACUUAAUAUUGAUAUGUUGCAAGCUUCCCUAGAGUUCAAAAUGAGAUAAAGAGUCCCACUAAUACCAGGUCUAUCCAAAUAUACGAAAGGUCCUACACUUUUCUUCACUUUUCUUUUUUUUUUUUUUUUUUUUGAGAUGGAGUCUUGCUCUGUUGCCCAGGCUGGAGUGCAGUGGUGCAAUCUCAGCUCACUGCAAUCUCCGCCUCCUGGGUUCAUGCCAUUCUCCUGCCCCAGCCUCCCCAGUAGCUGGGACUACAGGCACCCGCCA
rnacentral:lncRNA from 1 species